CCUGCACCAGCCGAGGCUCCGCCCCCACACCCAGCCCGAGGUUCGCUGGGCACCGGAGGAGGCUCGGCUCCACUGGAGCGAGAGGCGAGUGAGACCGUGAUCCGUCUACAGGCUCCUCUGUCCAUGGAAUUCUCCAGGGAAGAAUACUGGAAUGGUACUGGAGGAAAAGGGGACAACAGAGGAUGAAACGGUUGGAUGGCAUCACUGACUCAAUGAACAUGAGAUUGAGUAAGCUCUGGGAGUUGGUGAUGGACAGGGAGGCCUGGCGUGCUGCAGUCCAUGGGGUCGCAAAGAGUCAGACAGUACUGAACGACUGAACUGAACUGAGGUGGUACUGGUUCAGUCCCUGGGUUGGGAAGAUCCCCUGGAGGAAGGUACAGCAACCCAUUCCAGUAUUCUUGCCUGGUAUAUCCCAUGGACAGAGGAGCCUGACAGGCUACGACUAAAGUGACUUAGCACGCACACAUGCAUCCUAUCUUAACAUACAUACAUACAUAGGAAAAAUUAGAGGCACAGAUACCAAGGACAGUCUGGGAGAGGGGUAUAGUCAGAGACUCUCGAUUUUUACUUUAUACAGUUCUGUGGUGGUUGACAAUUACAUAACAAGAAAAUAUGAAACCAGAAAAAGAACAGUCCAGAUAUCUGUAGAUAGAGCUUCCCUGGUGGUCCAGGGGCCAUGCGGGGAGGCGCCCACAGGCUGCAGAGCAGCUAAGCCAGAGUGCCUAGAGCCUGUGCUCCACAAUAGAAGCCCCACACUAGAGAAAGUCUGUUCGCAAGACCCAGCACAGCCCAAAUAAAUAAAUAAUAAAUUAUUAAAAAAAGAUAUCUAGGGAUCUAAUUAGAUUCUUUUUAAUUUUGAAACAAAUUGUCACAGUAGUUUAUGUGCUGUGCAGAGUGCCUCUUAUCCCAGAAUUAUUCACUCUGGCAGCUUUCUUUAAAUUGAAGCUUUUCCUCCGUCCUUGGAGGAAAGCAAAGGGUUAAAGGGGCUAGGGGAGGGAAAGAGGAAGUGAGGUAAGGGAAAGAGGGGCGAGGGCAGCUGGGUACAGCUUCGGUGCCCUGCUGGCCCCCCCCUCCACACACACACACAGCCACAUACGUAGGCACCCAUACACACACCCCCACCUCGCCUUCCCCGCGGAUCUGGCUCCGACUGGAAGCCGCCAGCUCAGGUGCUGGGCUCUUCCUGGGGACACCCGAUGGGGAAAGAUCAGAACUCAAUGAAUGUAAAGUUAGGUGGAGGUUAAGACAAGAUGGUGCAACCUAGCAGCAACCAACGGUUCUCAGGGUAUGGUCCACGGACCCUGAGGAAGGGGGGGACCAUGAGAUCUAAAUUGUGAUCAUAAUAGUAAGUCAGUUAUAUUUCUCACUGUGCUAACAUUUGCCCAAAUGAUGCAAAAGCAACAGUGGGAUAACGGCUUACAAUUUAGCCUGAGUCAUGACAGAGGCACCAGACUGUGAUGAUUUUAUUUCUCACCACCAUGCACUCUUUUUUCUUUUUUCAAGUCCAUUAAUAAGAUCUCAAUAAAGCAGUAAAAAUUAUUUGGUUAGAUCAUAACUCUUGGUUAUACAUCUUUCU
ensembl:lncRNA